AGUCAGGGUUUAGAGUCAGGGACAGAGCUGGUCAGAGAGGACUGCUUUUACACCAACCUCUUCACUUGCUUUUGGAAUGAUGGUGACAUUUUGAAAAGAUUCAUUUGGGAAAAAUGUUUUCCUCUGCUGUAUUAACCAAACAAACUGGAAAUAAAGGGCUUAAAAAUAAGACAAACUACAUGUUUGUUACCAGACUUUAGGGCCAGACUCGCUUGUUCCAGACCAGGACUCUGGCUGAGGAGAGCUGAUGGAGGAGCCAAGACUCUGGAGGACGACAUCACUCCACCAACUAGGAUCCUCAGACCAAUUACGUUUGUAACCAGACCAGGAAUCUGGAGGACUGAUGGAGAAGCCAUACAUCUGGAAGGCAAAUCCUGAGGACCACCAGGACUCUACCAUCAAGGAUUCCUCAUAAAUGUGCAUUAUCUGGACAUAGUGGACUAGACACACCUGAGCUAAACCCGCCCUGAUCCUGACAUCCUGCUGGUCCCGUCUCCUCAGUUCAUCUGAGGCUGAUGGAUCAAUGACCUCCAGUGGGAGUGAUCUUCUUGACCCCACAUGUAACCGUGUGCUUCCACACGCCUUUCCCUCACGUCUGUCACUAACCUCACUACUUCACUACUCUCUACUGUUUCCUCUUUUCUUCCUUCUCUGUGGUUAAAAACUUUACACUGGAGGCGCGUCUUCCUGCCCUCAGAGGGUUUAGCGUUAGGGUUGAGAGUCAGGGUUUAGAGUCAGGGACAGAGCUGGUCAGGGAGGACUGCUUUUACACCAACCUCUUCACUUGCUUUUGGAAUGAUGGUGACAUUUUGAAAAGAUUCAUUUGGGAAAAAUGUUUUCCUCUGCUUUCCUUUACAAAUUGUAUUAAAACAUCUGUCAAGUGUUUUUGUUUAUAUAUUAAAAUCC
ensembl:lncRNA